AUCCCCACCAAAGUCAAUUUUAUUUUAGUCAAGGAUUCACAAUCUCUUAUAUGUCCUUUAUCUGAGGACAAUACAUUAGACGAAUUUCUGGAGCCGGGAGACGGAAGAGGAGCUUACUCCAUCCACUCCACACAUCACUCUGGUAUUUCAGUACCUCCAGGAAUGAUGGUCCCCUU
ensembl:snRNA U2 U2 spliceosomal RNA